GAUGAACGCUGGCGGCGUGCCUAAUACAUGCAAGUCGAGCGAACAGAUAAGGAGCUUGCUCCUUUGACGUUAGCGGCGGACGGGUGAGUAACACGUGGGUAACCUACCUAUAAGACUGGAAUAACUCCGGGAAACCGGGGCUAAGGCCGGAUAACAUUUAGAACCGCAUGGUUCUAAAGUGAAAGAUGGUUUUGCUAUCACUUAUAGAUGGACCCGCGCCGUAUUAGCUAGUUGGUAAGGUAACGGCUUACCAAGGCAACGAUACGUAGCCGACCUGAGAGGGUGAUCGGCCACACUGGAACUGAGACACGGUCCAGACUCCUACGGGAGGCAGCAGUAGGGAAUCUUCCGCAAUGGGCGAAAGCCUGACGGAGCAACGCCGCGUGAGUGAUGAAGGUCUUCGGAUCGUAAAACUCUGUUAUUAGGGAAGAACAAAUGUGUAAGUAACUGUGCACGUCUUGACGGUACCUAAUCAGAAAGCCACGGCUAACUACGUG
rnacentral:rRNA from 1 species